rnacentral:rRNA from 1 species
CCUACGGGAGGCAGCAGUGGGGGAUAUUGCACAAUGGGGGGAACCCUGAUGCAGCGACGCCGCGUGGGUGAAGAAGCGCCUCGGCGCGUAAAGCCCUGUCAGCAGGGAAGAAAAUGACGGUACCUGAAGAAGAAGCCCCGGCUAACUACGUGCCAGCAGCCGCGGUAAUACGUAGGGGGCAAGCGUUAGCCGGAUUUACUGGGUGGAAAGGGGGCGCAGACGGCGAUGCAAGCCAGGAGUGAAAGCCCGGGGCCCAACCCCGGGACUGCGCUUGGAACUGCGUGGCUGGAGUGCAGGAGGGGCAGGCGGAAGUCCUGGUGUAGCGGUGAAAUGCGUAGAUAUCAGGAGGAACACCGGUGGCGAAGGCGGCCUGCUGGACUGCAACUGACGUUGAGGCCCGAAAGCGUGGGGAGCAAACAGGAUUAGAUACCCCUGUAGUC